CAGAAGUGGCUAGUCUAACCGCAAGGAGGACGGUCACCACGGUAGGAUUCAUGACUGGGGUGAAGUCGUAACAAGGUAGCCGUAUCGGAAGGUGCGGCUGGAUCACCUCCUUU
rnacentral:rRNA from 5 species